GAUUCAUAUAUGUGUGUGUGUGUUUGUGUGUGUGUGUGUGUGUAGACACACACACACACACACACACAUAUUUAGGUCUG